GUAGGGGGUGUAACGUACCCUCUAGCCAUCAACGCGUACGGGUGUUGGGAGACAUAGCCCGGAGAUGGAUUCUGAGACACGAAUCCAGACCCUACGGGGUGCAGCAGGCGCGAAAACUUGGCAAUGCGAGCAAUCGUGACCAGGGAACUCCAAGUGGCUGGGGUAAUACCCAGUUUUUUCUUGACUCUUCAAAGGUCUUGGAAUAAGGGGUGGGUAAGGACGGUGCCAGCCGCCGCGGUAAUACCGGCGCCUCAAGUGGUAGUCGCUUUUAUUGGGCCUAAAACGUCCGUAGCCGGUCUGGUGCAUUCGUGGGUAAAUCAACCCGCUCAACGGGUUGAAUUCUGCGAGCACGGCCAGACUCGGGACCGGGAGAGGUGUGGGGUACUCUCAGGGUAGGGGUAAAAUCCUGUCAUCCUGAGAGGACCACCUGUUGCGAAGGCGCCACACUAGAACGGAUUCGACGGUCAGGGACGAAACCUAGGGGCACGAACCGGAUUAGAUACCCGGGUAGUCCUAGGUGUAAACGCUGUGGACUUGAUGUUGGGGGUGCUCCGAGCACUCUCAGUGUCGAAGCGAAGGUGAUAAGUCCACUGCCUGGGGAGUACGGUCGCAAGGCUGAAACUUAAAGGAAUUGGCGGGGGAGCACUGCAACCUGAGGAUUGUGCGGUUUAAUUGGACUCAACGCCGGGA
rnacentral:rRNA from 1 species